rnacentral:rRNA from 1 species
GACGAACGCUGGCGGCGUGCUUAAUACAUGCAAGUUGAGCGGUGAAGGCUGGUACUUGUACGAACUGGAUGAGCAGCGCACGGGUGAGUCACGCGUGGGGACUCUGCCUUUGAGCGGGGGACAACAUUUGGACACGAAUGCUAAUACCGCAUAAAAUCCUUAAACAUGAGUGUUAAGGUUGAAAGAUGCCAUUGCAUCAUUCAAUGAUGAUCUCGCGUUGUAUUAGCUAGUUGGUGAGGUAACGGCUCACCAAGGCGAUGAUACAUAGCCGACCUGAGCGGGUGGGCAGCCGCACUGAGACGGAGACACGGCCCAAACUCCUACAGGAGGCAGCAAGAGGGAAUCUGCGGCAAUCGGUGAAAGACUUACCGAGCUACGCCGCGGGAGUAAGGAGGGUUUCCGGGUCGGAAAACUCGGUUUGUAGAGAAGAACGUUGGUGAGAGUGGAAAGCUCAUCAAGUGACGGUAACUACCCAAGAAGGAACGGCUAACUACGUG